ACCAAAUUGGCCUUUUGGCUCAGAUCAGGUGUAAUAUUUGUCCUUAUCGGUUUAAUAUCUGAUACAGCCCUUUAUCUGGGGACCAUAUAUUACAUGGAUUUUUGGGACAGGGAGAUGGAAGAAGGGCUUGCUCUGUCCUCUCAAUGCAUUAACCUGAAAUUGCAGUAACUCCAUGACCAGUGUACCUCUC